rnacentral:lncRNA from 1 species
UUGCUAAACUACGUAUAUUAAUUAAACAAUUGAAUCAACCCAAACUUUCUAUCAAAGAACUAAUAACUUUAACAAAUUACAUAUAUCAAUUAAUCAUACAUAUAGUUGGUCAUUACAUACUUAAUUACAAUAUCUCAAACUUCUAACAUCCCAAACUUUCCAUCUAUGUCUAAAAACAAACAAGAUAUAUGUGCAGCCGAAAGGUGUACCAUAUCAACAAGAUAUAUACAUGUCUAAGCUACAAUAUGAACAUUUUCUUGUUACAAAAUUCUCACUUCUUUCUCAAACAAUUGAGCUCUUGCAUUUGCGGUUUCCAACCUCUCUUUUAGCUCUUUUAUUCCAUGCCUCAAAGAAGAUACUUCCACAUCAUAACUUCCAAUAAUGUUUAUUUUUGUCCUCAUACUUUUUAAUUUAAGUAAUCUUGUUCCUUGUACUUUAGAAAAACGAGCAUUUUGGUCCCUUCCUUUUCAUUUUUAUUUCCUUUCUAAUGGAUGCAAAUGGACACUUUUUGAAAGCUUAGGGACCAAAAUGAAUCAAAAUUGAAAGUCUAAUAACCCAAUGAACAUUUUAGAAUUAGGACAAACUAAAAUGAGUCAAAAUUAAAACCACGAUGAAUCAAAACCAAAAUAAUUACAAUGACCAUUGGAGCGUUUUUUAAAAAAUACAUAGUAAAAAAAACCUAGUAGGACAAUUAUACAAAACUGAGACUAAACAUCCUAACCAUUGUCGAUUUGAAGACCUCGUUCGGAGCUGCCAGAGGCUAAACUACAAACAUUUUAUUUCAAUAAAUCCAAUGAUGAGGCACAACAAAAACAUAAACAAAAGAGAAAAAAAAGAACCUGAAGGUUGUUGCUUUUAAUAUAUAUGACCACACACACUUGAAACAGCCAGACCAAAGUAAGAAAAGAAGUAUGGACUUAUGAUUGAUAACGUGAUUACCAGCUCGGCAACCUGUAUACAAAAUUGGUGUUAAGGAACUUUGAAAAGAAAAACAGAGGGAAAGAAUUGGAGAGGAUAUCAAAGUAUACAAAAUGGUGAUAUAAAAAGUAUAACAUUAAAUAGGGUUGAGGAGUGAUAGCCACCCCAAAUUCAUUGUUAUAAUUGAAAAAAGGAAAAAGAAAAAGGGUUGAAGAGGUAUAGUAUUUGUAUCUGAUCACCUAGCAAAGACCGUUGGCUGCCAAGUCAAAAGGCAGGGUAGUAUAACAAAAAUAGGCAAGGUAAAGUGUUGAAAAUGGCAACACCAGUUAUUUCUCUCCCAUAGUUAUUACCAAUAUGUUGAUGUCGUACGUGCGAACAAAUCACAAAAUGCCUGACAAAUAUACCAAACGUGUGUAAAAAGAUGCUUACGAGGUGAGUCAAAAAUGUGUAAAAAGAUGAUUUAUUAUGAGGGACAUGAGCAGAAUGUGUAAAAAGAGAAGUUGAACAUUAUUACGAGGUGAGUCAAAAAAAUACGAGGUUGCUUCAAACAAAAACGACCCUUGCUUUGGUGGUUCCAGAAAAUUGAUUGGAAAAGAGAAGCAGAAAAUGACGAGACUGAGAACUGAACAAGUAAGCCAUAGAAAGUUUCCCACUUGCUCCCUGGUGGUUCCAUAUGCAAUUGGGGAACGUUCUAUGACUUACCUAUUCAGUUCUCGGGCUUGUUAUUUUCUACUCCUCUUUUCCAAAUCAAUUUUCUGGAACCACCAUACCAAGGGUUGUUUAUGUUUGAAGCAACUUCAUAUUUCUUUCGACGUAGCGUGUAAUAAUGUUCAACUUCCUUCUUUGCACAUUCUACACAAGUCCCUAUGAUCAUACUAGGCAAUUAUGCUGAGAUAAUGUUUUUAGUUUUUAUUAUUCAUGUAAUUUAUGAACCUACAAACGUGUACUUUUUAAUAUCUGACUUAAUUUUAAUAUAAUCUUGAUUUGAGAUGUUAAUAAUUUUUUAUUAAUUUUACGCUACUUCAUUUUAGAAUUUGAUUGUUUAUAAAUUGAAAUCGAUCUCAAUAGUGAAAAUCUUAAAUAAUAAUAUAUUUAAAAGAUAUUAGGAAAAAGGUUUCUUGACGCAUAAAACACGUUGGCAUGGACAUCUAUUGUCAACGCUUUGACCAGACGUCAGACGAGGCUUUCUCCGAUGUCUUGCGUGAGUCAGCGAAGCCCCUAUCGGGCAAAGUUUUUGCCGACGUUGUUAUGUUUAUAGGUUGAUUUUGCCAAUCCCAACGCGGUAAUGGCAACGUUCUUUUCGACGUUGGUCUUGAUGUCGAGAUAGGUAUUCCCAACAUGUUUUGGUGAAUUUGCCAAUGAAGUUUGAUAAUCAGGUAAGAAAACUUAAAGAUUGAUGCGAGUUAUGUUUCAAACCUUAAGAGAAACUUCAUAUCUUUAAGAGUUUUGGAUAAAGUUGGCUACCUCCCCAAGAAAUUUGGCCUUUCAUGUAGUCAAAAUCUGACAUUACAUAUGUAUAAUGCAUGGAAAGAUGUUAUUAAAAAUAUUCGAUGUUGAUCAAUCUUUUAAGUCGGUUUUCGCUCGACAUUAUAGAUGAUUUAUUUGUUGAUUUUUGCCAAACAUUAUAGAUGAUUUAUUUGUCGGAUGAUUUUGAUGUCGCUCUAAAGUUUGUCCAACAAUAAAUAUAUGUUUUUGUGACCGACAAAACCGCUCAUCGUUUAUUUAUUGAAAAUAAAAAGAAAAAAAGAUAUUAUACAUGUACUAGCGAACCAAUAAUAUAUUUCUCAUUUACUUAUAAAUGUAUAAAAUAAAUUAAAGAGGAAAAUUGGCAAAAGUAGUAUACUUUUAAUUUUCGUUUUCAAAAGUAACACAUUUUUUAAAACUCUUAAAACUGUUUUCUCGAUCAAUCUCGCGAGAUCAAUCACUAAAUUUUCUUAAAAUAUUAAAAAAUUUCAACUUAUCGAUUGUUUUGGGUAGACAUUAGACGAGAUUCAACCAUUUUUCACAUCUUUUCAAAUCUUAUUUAUUUAUUUUUUAUGUUUAAAAAAAAAUUAUUGAAAUUCUUAUCCCAAAUCUUAACUACUUUUCCAAUUUCCCUAACUAUUUAUUGUAAAACUAAAAUUCCUUUUUCCCCUUCUUCUCUUCUUCAACCCCUUUUCCCAUUUUAUGUUAAUGCAGAUUAGUUAAGAUUUGACAGGAAAAUGGAAGUUAUUAGAUUCAAAACAAUGUAAAGAGAAGGGAAGUUUGAGGGAAGCCAUCAGUGAACUUUGAGGUCAGAAAUGAGAAAGAUGCAAAGUUAAGGAAAGGAGAUCAAAUAUCAUUAGAGUAGAGUACGUGGUGAUUGAACAAGAAUUAAAAUACCAAUUCAAUUUCAUAAAAAAAAAUUGUAUUGUUUGAUUCAGUUUAUGCAGUUUCAGCUUAAUGAAACGUGUUUUGACUCUUGGUUGAUAAUUGAAUCCUAAAAUGGUUGAAGAUAGAAGAGAAAAAGAAAAAAAAUGGUAAAUUAAAUUAGUUGGGGAAAUUGCAAAAAUUGGUUAGCUUUCACGUAAGAUUUGGGAUCUCCAUAUAAAUAUCACUAUGAAAACCCAAAACAAUCGAUAACUUAGAAAAAUAUUUCCAAAAUAUUUUAGAAAAUCUUGGUGGCCGAUCUCGUUCAAGAUUGAUCAAGAAAAACAAAGAGUGUACUACUUUUACCAAUUUUUCAAAUAAAAACUGCAGUUAGCUAAAUACAAAUUCAGAAGAACUAAUCCACAUAUCACUAUCCAUAUAUAAUGUGCACAUAUCUGUAGCAUAAAUAUGGGAGUUGUAGUUUUCUUUCCAAGAGUGCACAUUUUUACAAAUUUAUAAAAUUGUUUUCAUGAUCAAUCAUCCGUUAAAUUGACCAUGAAGAUUUUUUAAAAAUAUUAAAAAUUUUCAACUUAUCAAUUAAUUUAGUUUUCUGGCUACAUCUGGAUAGUUAUAUCGAGAUUCUACUAUUUUUCAAAUCUUUUCAAAUAUUAAAAAUUUUCAAUUUAUCAAUUGAUUUAGUUUUCUGGCUAGUUAGAUCGAGAUUCUACUAUUUUUCAAAUCUUUUCAAAUUUUAUUUAAUUUUUUAUCUUUUCAAAUAGAUAAUUCUUUUACCUUUUCAAAAAUAAUUAUGAAUCUUGGAUCAUCCUAACGAAAUUGUACCGAAAAAACGUACAAAUUCGAUAAUCUUUGUCAAAAUUGUACCAAAAAAAACUAAAAAGUAUGAUAAUUUUAUCAAUUAAAUUAAAUAAGUUAAGAUCUUCCAAGAUUAAAAAAAUUGUUAAUCUCAAAGAUAUAUUCAAAUCUUUUCCAAUCUUAACUUAUAUCUUUUCGAAUGUUAACUAACUUUUCUUUAUGUGUGAAAUUUGAAAACAUAGAUUUAUGGGGAUUUUUGAAGUUUAAAAAAUAACUAUAUUUUUCUAUAAUCUUUUUCAAUCUUAUAACGUGAAUAUUAACUAAUUUUCUCCGUAUCUAAACUUUUUAUACAACUUCUCAAAUUAUUUAUCAAGAUUAUCAUACAAAUCUAAUUUACAAUAACCUUAUAUAAAAUUUUGUAAGAUUAUAAUAAAAAAAUUGAUAAGAGUUAGCUGAAAUAUUCAUAAAUAAAACUGUACCAAGAAGGUCUAAAAUUAUCAUUUUUAAACUUUCUUCAUACAAUUUUGUUGAAGAUGAACAGAGAUUUAUUAAUGUUUUAGGCUUUCCUGAUACAAUUUUAUAUGAGAUGAACGGAGAUUCAUAUUUUUUUAACUAUAAAAAAAUUAAUUAAGAUUAUUUGGUCUAAAAUUUGAAUAAUUUUUCUGAAAAGAUAAAAAAAAUUAAAUAAAUUUUGGAAAGAUUUGAAAGGAUAGAAUUUCAAAUACAAAAAUCGAGUAUACAAGGAAGAAGAAAAACACACACACAUGUGUGUAUAUAUAUAUAUAUCAAUUUGCAUUCCUCAGUUCAAUCACAGAAGUCAACCCAUAAAAUAGAACAUUCUCAUGGAUGAAAAUACCUCUAUAGAAAUCCGAAGCUGUGAAACUCACGACGACAUGGACAAACCUUGAACGAUCGCACAGAAUGGGCCCAAAAUACACACUCUUGCUUGACCACUGUGUAGUUCUCUUCUUCGUAUAAAUACCCUUUGUAUAAGAGAGUAACUACAUCUAUCCUGAUAUCAGUCACCCCUGCAAAGAAUUUUUGCCACUUGAACGCGUAAAUGGGUGCUGAUAAAAAUGUUAUUGGUAGAACGCCUAUAAAAGGAUAGAGCUCCUUCUCUAUCUUGAAAUAUUUGUUGACUGUCUUAACGGAGAAAUGGCUUAUUUUCAUCGCCUUCUUGGUCCUCGUUUUCUUCUACGGUCAUAUUGCCUUGCCUUGAGGACCUUUCUUCUUUUCUUUUCCUUCUCGCCUCUCUUGACAGUCAUAUUGGCCUUCUCGACUACUACAAAUUUAGCCUUCUUUGAUGUGUAAACACAUAAAAAAAAUGUCUACCUUGAUACUCUUUGUCCAUCAAGUAGGCAGACAUCAUCAAGAAACCGCGAUCGGUCAAGAGAGAAAACUUCGAUGUUUCUUGCUCAUCAAGAAAACUGAAAAAGCCCACAAAAGAAAACCAGUUUACUUGGCCAAAACAUGUUAUCAAAAACCUUUUCUUUUUUUCUAUUUUAGAUUUCCUUUUUCUUUUUUCUCACUCACCUUAGCACUUCAUGAUCUUGAUGCCAUCCCCAAUGUUUACUAACAAUUGUAAAGUUAAAAUUCAAAUUUAUAAAU